rnacentral:tRNA from 2 species
GGCCCCUUAGCCAAGCGGUAAGGCCGCGGAUUGCAAAUCCGCUACCCCCGGUUCGAAUCCGGGAGGGGCCU